GAUGAACGCUGGCGGCGUGCCUAAUACAUGCAAGUCGAGCGAACAGAUGAGGAGCUUGCUCCUCUGACGUUAGCGGCGGACGGGUGAGUAACACGUGGAUAACCUACCUAUAAGACUGGGAUAACUUCGGGAAACCGGAGCUAAUACCGGAUAAUAUAUUGAACCGCAUGGUUCAAUAGUGAAAGACGGUUUUGCUGUCACUUAUAGAUGGAUCCGCGCCGCAUUAGCUAGUUGGUAAGGUAACGGCUUACCAAGGCAACGAUGCGUAGCCGACCUGAGAGGGUGAUCGGCCACACUGGAACUGAGACACGGUCCAGACUCCUACGGGAGGCAGCAGUAGGGAAUCUUCCGCAAUGGGCGAAAGCCUGACGGAGCAACGCCGCGUGAGUGAUGAAGGUCUUCGGAUCGUAAAACUCUGUUAUUAGGUAGAACAAAUGUGUAAGUAACUAUGCACGUCUUGACGGUACCUAAUCAGAAAGCCACGGCUAACUACGUG
rnacentral:rRNA from 1 species